rnacentral:rRNA from 1 species
CAGUAGCCACGGGAAUACGGAAGGCGCGAGCGUUACCCGGAUUUACUGGGCGUAAAGGGCGCGUAGGCGGCCUGGGGCGUCCCAUGUGAAAGGCCACGGCUCAACCGUGGAGGAGCGUGGGAUACGCUCAGGCUAGAGGGUGGGAGAGGGUGGUGGAAUUCCCGGAGUAGCGGUGAAAUGCGCAGAUACCGGGAGGAACGCCGAUGGCGAAGGCAGCCACCUGGUCCACUUCUGACGCUGAGGCGCGAAAGCGUGGGGAGCAAACCGGAUUAGAUACCCCAGUAGUCCCUGUCUCUUAUAC